AAGAACGCUGGCGGCGUGCUUUAACAUGCAAGUCGAACGAGAAAGCUCUUCGGAGUGAGUACAGUGGCGCACGGGUGAGUAACACGUAGGUGACCUACCUUUUAGUGGGGGACAACUCGGAGAAAUCCGAGCUAAUACCGCAUGAGUAGUUAAAACUUGAAUAUAUAACUAGAAAGGAUGCCUCUUUACAAUGCAUUCGCUGAAAGAUGGGCCUGCGGGACAUUAGCUUGAUGGUGGGGUAAUGGCCUACCAUGGCAUCGAUGUCUAGCGGAUCUGAGAGGACGAUCCGCCACACUGGAACUGAGACACGGUCCAGACUCCUACGGGAGGCAGCAGUGGGGAAUAUUGCGCAAUGGGCGAAAGCCUGACGCAGCAACGCCGCGUGAGUGAGGAAGGCCUUCGGGUUGUAAAGCUCUGUCAAUGUGGAAAAACAGUCAGAUAUCUAAUAGGUGUUUGGUUUGAUGGUACACAUAAAGGAAGCACCGGCUAACUUCGUGCCAGCAGCCGCGGUAAUACGAAGGGUGCAAGCGUUGUUCGGAUUUAUUGGGC
rnacentral:rRNA from 1 species